CAAAAAACAGCCAAUCGCAUGGGGGGUGCUGAUAGGGAUUAAUGGGCCAAAUCUGGAAGGCCCGAAAUAGACCCAUCUAGGUUAAACUUAAAACAAAAAAAGGGAAAAGGCAUCGUUGCUUUCUCAAUAGCCUUUCCCUUUCUGCAGUUUUCAAUCGUUCCAAAACUUAGCAAACCCUAAAAAGUUUCUUUCCUCCCGGAGAAGACCGCCGAAGGCGACGGCUUACGGUGGAGCCUCCCUUCUUCUCCGGCCACCCUCCUCAAAACACAACUUAACCCUCUAAAUACCCCCUUUCGAGUUCGAAUCCAACCUCUAAAAAUCCCUAAACCCUUAACACAAAACCGAUUCACCCUGAGCCGACGAGUACGAAGAACAACCAAGAAAGAUCAAACGAGGAAGGAUCGAAGUCUGAAUCGAGGAUUCCAAAGAACGAAAUGCUAAGGGGUUCGCUCAAACCGGAGCUCAAACGACAAACACCCAGGAGCGAGCAAACGAGAUAGACAGUGCGAAAUCCAGUAUAAAUGAAGAUUAUGCAAGUUCUUUUUAAAACGAGAGGCAAGGGGUUUUACCGUCCAGUAGGGCUUUCAGGUUACAACUUGAAGUGACUUUGAUGGGAUGGGAGGUGGUUGCGUGAAGCUUCAAGGAAGCAAGUUUGAGGCGUACCAGUUCCAAGGAAGGUUCAACGGUCUCUGGCUUUGGUCUCUUGGGGCAAUGGUUCUUAUCAAUUGAAAUUGCAACAGCUUUUAUUAAAUUAAGAUGUAAUCAAUUAAGUAUUUAGGUUAAAUGUAUAUUUGGACUAUUUGUAACCUAUUGGAUUUAAAAUCUGUUUAUGUAAUUACCUUUUUUUUAAGCAUUCAAA